CCAAAAUGUAUAUUGAGUGUAAUUUUCAGAUGACAAACAGUAUAAGCACAGAUUCAGAAUAGAAAGAUGUCUAAACUAAGCCUAAUGACCACACCAACUCAACAAAUCUAUUGGGAAAUCAGAGAAGUUGUUCAAGAAUAAAAGCAAGACCAGGAUAAAAUAGUACCUAAGGUUGUCACACUUACACCAGCAAUUACUUCUGCUCACUGUCAUAGAAUUCAUCUCACCUUUUUUAGCAACGGAAGAAAUUUUGUUAUCUCCCUGUAAAAAAAUUUUAGUUACAAAUUGCAGGCAAACAAAUUGCACCGCGUGGAAACAUACUUAUUGGCAUAAAACAUAAUAAAAUAGGACAAAAUACUAUUUACACAUAUUGUUUGUGUCAUCCUACCAUAUGUUUAAAGUUUAUAGAAAUUGGCUGCGAGCAACAAUAGCCAAACAACAAUAUGAAAAUAAUUAUUCCUAUGCAAGCCUACAGAUAUAUUUUAGUGGCUCAUGCAAAGUUAACUUGGUUGUACAGAGAAUUACAUAGUAGAGACUAUAUAUGCCGAAGAACCAUGAGUAUGGAGAUGUACUAAAUUUUCGGCUAUGUAUUUGAAGGGAAAGAAGUAGAGAUAGCACGGUAGAAGAGGAAGAGGUAGCUCCAAUAAAUCUACUGGGAAGCCAUGCAAAAAUAAUAAUCAUACUGUUCUAAGCUCACAAACUGGCUUAGAAGAUUGUAUAAUUAGAACAACCAAUAGGAUUUUACCUGGUUGAAGCACACAACAAAAGAAUCCAUUCAUUUUCUUCAAGAAAUUCAUCGAACGUUUGGUGCGCGACAACAAUGGAACCAUAACUGGAUAUGUUGUAAAAGUACCCUAGUAACCAAAUUUCUAAUCUGCACGACAUGUAACAUGAUGAUUAUAUAACAAAGCAACAUUUUCCUAUUUUGUAGAAGACAAAUCACAAAAGUGGAUUGGUAGGCUUUGGUGCUGGAGUUGCGGUUACCAAUUCGCAAGUUCUCUCUCCUCUAUCCCUUGCUUG
rnacentral:lncRNA from 1 species